rnacentral:rRNA from 1 species
UACGUAGGUGGCAAGCGUUAUCCGGAAUUAUUGGGCGUAAAGAGCGCGCAGGUGGUUGAUUAAGUCUGAUGUGAAAGCCCACGGCUUAACCGUGGAGGGUCAUUGGAAACUGGUCGACUUGAGUGCAGAAGAGGGAAGUGGAAUUCCAUGUGUAGCGGUGAAAUGCGUAGAGAUAUGGAGGAACACCAGUGGCGAAGGCGGCUUCCUGGUCUGUAACUGACACUGAGGCGCGAAAGCGUGGGUAGCGAACAGGAUUAGAUACCCCCGUA